rnacentral:rRNA from 1 species
UACAGAGGGUGCAAGCGUUAAUCGGAAUUACUGGGCGUAAAGCGUGCGUAGACGGUCAUGUAAGUCGGGUGUGAAAGCCCCGGGCUCAACCUGGGAAUUGCAUUCGAGACUGCAUGGCUAGGAUGCGGAAGAGGGAAGCGGAAUUUCCGGUGUAGCGGUGAAAUGCGUAGAUAUCGGAAGGAACACCAGUGGCGAAAGCGGCUUCCUGGUCCAGCAUCGAC